CCAUCUUCUCUGUGUUCAUCAUUCUUCUCUUUUGUAUUGUUCUCUUCUAGAUCUUCUUCCUCAGGCUUAUUCCCUUCUUCUUCUUCCACUGUUUCAUCUUCUAGUUCCUCUCUAUGCUUCUCAUGAACUGUAUCUAAUCCCUCAAUCCGGGGUAGAUCUUUCCUUCCAAGUUUCACAAGUUCAUUGAUACUUCCAGACUUGAUUGAAGACUUGGCAUCAUCUUCAUCAAAUUCUUUCUUUUUAUCAUGUGAGUGCUUGACCUGGUAAAUCAGCCAAAAGCAAACAGCAAGCAACAGACAGAUUUGUAAAACAUUCUUAACCUUGACACCUUUGGAUCUAUGGUUCCUACUAGGUGACUGCUUGUACAUGGUGAGUUUUACUACCUGUCCUGAAAGUAGCCAAGAAAUGGAAAAAAGGGGAAAGUAAUAGGUUAGUCAAAGAGUUUUCAUAGAUAUACUGAUUGAUGAAAUUGAAUUGAAGGGAGUCCUUCUCCACCUAUAAUUCUUCUUCAACUUCUCUUUCUUAUUCGGAUCUACAAACAAAGCCUCUACACACUCUCUACUCUCUACUCUAGAUUUUUGGACGGGCUCCGAUACAUUACUAUAAAUGGACCGGGUCAUAUAUGCCUGCUUCU
rnacentral:misc_RNA from 1 species